UACGGGGGGGGCUAGCGUUGUUCGGAAUUACUGGGCGGAAAGGGCGCGUAGGCGGUCUGCUAAGUUGGAUGUGAAAACUCUGGGCUUAACCCAGAGCCUGCAUUCAAUACUGACAGGCUAGAGUUCUGGAGGGGAUAGCGGAAUUCCUGGUGUAGCGGUGAAAUGCGUAGAUAUCAGGAGGAACACCGGUGGCGAAGGCGGCUUCCUGGACCGACACUGACGCUGAGGCGCGAAAGCUAGGGGAGCAAACGGG
rnacentral:rRNA from 1 species